GACAGAGGUCCCGAGCGUUAGGCGGAAUCACUGGGCUUAAAGCGUGUGUAGGCGGACUUCUAAGUGCCUUGUGAAAUCCCACGGCUUAACCGUGGAACUGCUUGGUAUACUGGUCGUCUUGGGCCAUCUAGGGGCUACUGGAACAAACGGUGGAGCGGUGAAAUGCGUAGAUAUCGUUUGGAACGCCAAUGGUGAAAACAAGUAGCUGGGGAUGUGCCGACGCUGAGACACGAAAGCCAGGGGAGCGAACGGG
rnacentral:rRNA from 1 species